GUCCAUCUAUCUUAGUUGGUAGAGUGCAAGGCUCUUAACCUUUUGGUCGUGGGAUCGAUCCCCCAUGGUGGACG
rnacentral:tRNA from 1 species